rnacentral:rRNA from 1 species
UACGGGGGGGGCAAGCGUUGUUCGGAAUUACUGGGCGUAAAGGGCUCGUAGGCGGCCAACUAAGUCAGACGUGAAAUCCCCAGGCUUAACCUGGGAACUGCGUCUGAUACUGGAUGGCUUGAAUUCGGGAGAGGGAUGCAGAAUUCCAGGUGUAGCGGUGAAAUGCGUAGAUAUCUGGCGGAAUACCGGUGGCGAAGGCGGCAUCCUGGACCGAGAUUGACGCUGAUGAGCGAAAGCUAGGGGAGCAAACGGG